CCACCACCUAACAGGUCCUGGACCUGUAGAUCCCUUCCACAGCACAGUGACGAAUCUACCACCCACCCAAGCUGUGUGUCUUGGAACUGUCGCUGUACCUCCCUGAGCCUCAGUAUGCUCCUCUGGAAAGUGGGAUGGAGUGCCAAAUCCUCAAGAACUUCUCACCACUUCAUGUUAUCAUCUCUGCUUUGCACAUUUCCAGGAGAAGAAAUGCAGUGCCUCAUUGCUCAUCAUCACCACUGGCCCUGGUUGCUCUGGGGAUAAACCAGCUUGGAUUUCACCCUCGAGGACCAGCAUUCCACAGACCACAUAAAGCCACUUGCAAGUCAAGAUGAAGCAGGGCAAACUUGAACAUGAAGCCUUUUGUGUGGCUGGUUUCUUAUCUUUUGCCCUUUGUUAGAGGCUGAGGCACUGGGUGAGGGAAUUACAUUCACAAGCAAACCAACUGCAAGAUGCUCCCCUGGAAGGAGGAGCAAACGCUGCUGCCCCCUCCUGCCCUCUCAUGAUCACUUCCACAGCUGGGAUCGUCGGCAGAUCAGCUGGAGAGAAGCUGGGCAGGGGCUGGUACCAAGAAAAGGAUGAUUUCAGGCACUUUCUUUCAAUUCUAAGAGCAACCCCUGUAUAGAGCGCUUGGCACGUGUCCCCCUGAAAGCUGCUCACCCCACUGCACCGGAAGUGCUAAGGACUAACUUGCAAGCAGUUCUCUGAAGCGGGAGGAAACUAUAGGAUCAAAGUGCCCACCAGAUAGGACUGCUCUGCAGAAAGAUGGAAUCUUAGAUGGUGGACACCAAGCCCCAUUGUUCAAAUGAUCAGAAAUGAAAUAACUGAUUUUUAAAAGAGACUUGUGGAUUGUGUGAAUAAACCAUAUCUGCAGAGGAGCCUAAUAUUCUGAAUAAUACAUAACAGUUGGGAUCCUAUUUAAAAUCUAACCUAAACUCAAGGAAAUCAUUAUUCUCCACUAGAGGGCAGUCUGGUAACAAGCUCAUAACCAGUUUGUAAAACAAGGCUAGAAAGGGAGGAAGAAUUUGUGGUCUGAUUUUAAGCUUGCGAUGAGAACUGCUGUGAGCAGAAACAAAAAAUCAAAGAACAUUUUUACCACUAAGAGUUUUUCAAUGUGGCAUGAAAACUACUCAAGGAAGGGUUUUGUUUGUUUGUUUAAUUCUGAAUGACAUUUUUAAAAAAAGCAAGCUGAUGGACUUGAACAAAACUGAAACCGCUUUCAAACAGUUGCUAUGUUGUUCUGUUGCUAUGUGAUCUAGUAUCGGCUACAAACAAAAUCAAGGAGAUCACAUUUCCUCUGCCUCAGCCAUUUGGAAAGCUUCAGACCUCUAGGAGUCCCAGUCUCCAGUUGUGCCUGGAGCUUCAAACUUUGCGGGAGAGUUUUAACUGGGAAAAAUAGCAACCAUGACAGCUAGCUUUUUUUGAACUCUGAGUGCCAGGCUGGGUGUUUCACGUGGAUUCUCUCUCUAAUCCCCACAAUUGUUCUAUGAGUUAGGAACUAUUAUUAACAUCUUCAUUUUACAAAUGCAGAAACAUAGGACCAUAGAACAUGGAGCACUUACCUGUGGGACAUAGCUAAUCAAAGGCAGCAGAGAUUCAAACCCAGGCAGACUGACAACAGAUCCCAGGUUCAAGCUAUUUCUGGACAAUUAAUGGUGAUGAUGGAACUAGAACCCAGGUCUCUUUGUUACAAAUUAAAGAGUGACUUUAAUGUUGAAAAAGAUAUGUGUGGCCAGGCCUGGGUAGAAAAGGACUUCAGAAAAAGGCAGAGGGAAGCAACACAAAAUGACUGUGUUUGCAAAGAGAAGGGUUCAUGCCAAGAAACAGGAAAAUUCCAGGCUGAGCUGGGAUGCUCCAUAUAGGCCAAUUAUUCACAGUUUCAGAGUGGCCAGCACUGGAGGGAUUUCCCCACUGCCUCCCCCAAAUCCAGAGAGUCCCAAGAUCCAUGGACCAGUGGACUUCCCAGAAGCAUCCCACAGAAGACUGCUUCUUGCCUCAGAAUAGGAUCAAUAGAAGUUCACCUAAAAUCGCCAAUGGCCCUCAGUCAAGUACAUCCCAAUAUCAUAAGACCAAUUAUAAUUGCCACCAUUUGAGUGCUCACCACGUGUCGGGCCCUGCACUAAGCAUUUUACUUGAGUGAGCUCAUUUAAUCCUUAUACAAUUCUAUGAGAUGGGCACCACGCCCCCCAUCAGGGAAUUUGGUGUGCUGGCCCCUUUCACGGGGACUUUGUCAUGUGUGUGUGGAUUGUGGAUGCAGAUGUCUGAGAGAGAGUGUACAUCCGGCACACAAGUUGGCUUCCCCACUCCCACCCCCAUC